UACGUAGGGGUGCGAGCGUUUGUCCGGAAUUAUUGGGCGUAAAGAGCUCGUAGGCGGUCUGUCGCGUCGAUCGUGAAAACUUGGGGCUUAACCCUGAGCUUGCGGUCGAUACGGGCAUGACUGGAGUUCGGCAGGGGAGACUGGAAUUCCUGGUGUAGCGGUGAAAUGCGCAGAUAUCAGGAGGAACACCGGUGGCGAAGGCGGGUCUCUGGGCCGAUACUGACGCUGAGGAGCGAAAGCGUGGGGAGCGAACAGG
rnacentral:rRNA from 1 species